UACGUAGGGGGCAAGCGUUGUCCGGAAUCAUUGGGCGUAAAGAGCGUGUAGGCGGCCAGAAAAGUCCGCUGUGAAAACUCGAGGCUCAACUUCGAGCUGUCGGUGGAAACUUUCUGGCUAGAGUCCGGAAGAGGAGAAUGGAAUUCCUGGUGUAGCGGUGAAAUGCGCAGAUAUCAGGAAGAACACCCGUGGCGAAGGCGGCUCUCUAGUACGGUACUGACGCUGAGACGCGAAAGCGUGGGGAGCGAACAGG
rnacentral:rRNA from 1 species